GACGAACGCUGGCGGCGUGCUUAACACAUGCAAGUCGAACGGAAAGGCCCUGCUUUUGUGGGGUGCUCGAGUGGCGAACGGGUGAGUAACACGUGAGUAACCUGCCCUUGACUUUGGGAUAACUUCAGGAAACUGGGGCUAAUACCGGAUAGGAGCUCCUGCUGCAUGGUGGGGGUUGGAAAGUUUCGGCGGUUGGGGAUGGACUCGCGGCUUAUCAGCUUGUUGGUGGGGUAGUGGCUUACCAAGGCUUUGACGGGUAGCCGGCCUGAGAGGGUGACCGGCCACAGUGGGACUGAGAUACGGCCCAGACUCCUACGGGAGGCAGCAGUGGGGAAUAUAGCACAAGGGGCGGAAGCCUGAUGCAGCAACGCCGCGUGCGGGAUGACGGCCUUCGGGUUGGAAACCGCUUUCGCCUGUGACGAAGCGUGAGGGACGGUAAUGGGUAAAGAAGCACCGGCUAACUACGG
rnacentral:rRNA from 1 species